UUUUCCUUCCCGAGCACAUCUUCUUCUUCUUCUUCUGUUUUUUUUUCUUCUUUUUCUCUCUGCAACAACCCACGUCGGGGUAUCACGAAGCCUUGGCCGAAGUUCCAUUUUUCCGCCACGCGCCGGAGUUGGAGCACCAGUGGCCGGCGACAACCUCAUCCCCAAAACCUCAAGGCCAUCGAACUUAAGACGCACCCGAACGGAGCAGUCAAAGUUUCGUUGUCAAAACUUUGACCGCACUUUCUGGCGAACCCAGACCUCCGUUUGGUGAGUGGGUGGCACCGUUGGGACCAGUGUGAAGGGAGGAACGUCGCCCACUAACUCAUUUCAGUCAACUCACCGUUUUUCUCCGGCGAAGUUUUGGGUAUCUCCGCCCCUUCGGAGGCAUUUUCCGGCGACACCGGAGGUCAGUUGAGCAAAGGGGUUGUACUUCCGUGAUGUACUACUCGAGAGGAUCAUUUUGAUAUAUGCUAUGCAUAUAUUCGUCGACGUUCCCGGUACCGCUAUCAACUGCUAGUGUGCACCGCUUGGGAAAAUCGUGAUAUAUAGAUCCAAUUUAAUUCGCUCUAGGAUAAUCGUUAAGCUUGGGAGUGUCCCUUGGGGCUCGGACUGAACAUUCUUAAGAGGAUCCUAGUGACGCAAAACUUGGAUAAGGUGAAUUAUCGCUGAAGCUAAUGUGUUUAGCUCCCUAGUCCUAUCUUUUGAGCAUUUUGUAUUUAAUUUGGAACCUAUCGGUCUGUAUAUCUAAGUUAGCUAUGAAAUAGUUAGACAUGAGGAAUGGUGGAUGCUAAGUAUUAUUAUGGUGUUUUAUGACUAAUUAAAUUUAACUAUUUGGUGACUACAUAACUGUGGGGAUAUUAUUGUUCUAUGUAUUAAGAUAAAUGAUCCUACUUUUAUUCGUGAUAUUUUCAUAUAUAAUUAUAGGAGUUAUUCCGUUGUCCUGACUUAUAAUUAUAGUAAUAUUUAAAAUAAAUUAAAGGAUCAUUUAUAAAGACUAUUUUCCACAAAGGGUCAAAGUUUGACCUUUGACCACCCAAGUUAUGGAUAUUACAACUCUGCCACAGCCUAGGGCUCGGGUUGUGACACUUAAUCUUUUUCCAUUGCAGCAAAAAUACUUAAAGUACUAUAUAUUACUUUUGUUAGUAGCUUAUUUGUUGGAAUUAUUAAGCAUAUUGAUUAAGCAAACAUAUGUCAUUAUGUAAUCGGUUAAUUUCAUAUUUAUUUAUUUUUUAAUAUUUUAAAUUAGAAAAAUAAAUUGAAAUACAUUUUAAAAAUACAUAUUUUGAUGAUAAAAAUACUUAAAUUACAGAAUGAUACAUAUUUAGUGAGUCAACACUUAACAGCUCCAACUGAGUUAAUGUCCAUAUUAUUAAUAUUAAUAUUUGUUGUUUUUAAUUCAUCUUUGCAUGCAUGGCUUUGGAACCCAAGCGUGGCAGGCGCAGCUGACAAGGUAGGAUAGCUAGCAAAUGGACAGACGCCAUGUGGCGCGCUAGUGGCAGCUGCUGAACGACACAGGGGCGCCAUGCGGGUGCUGACUGGACACCAGGUAGAGUGCCAGCAGGCGCAGGCCUUGGCUUGGGUCUUCAGGUGAACCGGGCUAGAGCUGUAUUAUGGGCUCGCUGAAGGCUUUUUGGACUUCCUUUAGAGGAAAUUACAUGGGAUAUUUACACAAUUUAUUUCAAUAUCUUUUUUAUUUA